AGAACGAACGCUGGCGGCAGGCUUAACACAUGCAAGUCGAGCGCUGUAGCAAUACAGAGCGGCAGACGGGUGAGUAACGCGUGGGAACAUACCCUCCGGUUCGGAAUAACUCAGGGAAACUUGAGCUAAUACCGAAUACGGUCGAGAGGCGAAAGAUUUAUCGCCGGAGGAUUGGCCCGCGUUCGAUUAGCUAGUUGGUGAGGUAACGGCUCACCAAGGCGACGAUCGAUAGCUGGUCUGAGAGGAUGAUCAGCCACAUUGGGACUGAGACACGGCCCAAACUCCUACGGGAGGCAGCAGUGGGGAAUAUUGGACAAUGGGCGAAAGCCUGAUCCAGCCAUGCCGCGUGAGUGAUGACGGCCUUAGGGUUGUAAAGCUCUUUCGCUAGGGACGAUAAUGACGGUACCUAGACAAGAAGCCCGGCUAACUUCGUGCCAGCAGCCGC
rnacentral:rRNA from 1 species